ACCCUGCCGGCAUAAGUAGCGAUAACGGAGGUGGGAACCCUCCGCGCCGAAAGUCUAAGGUUUCCUGAGAAAGGUUAAUCCGCUCAGGGUUAGUCGGUACCUAAGGCGAGGCCGAAAGGCGUAGCUGAUGGACAGCCGGUUAAUAUUCCGGCACUGUGGCGGAGACGUUAUGACGAAGCGGGGACGCAGGAGGAUAGCGGAGUCGAAACCCGCAAGGGCGAUGCGCGCAUCGAGGAGGAUCCGGCAGGCAAAUCCACCGGGUCGGUUCAAAGCCACUCUGAGGUGUGAGCCGAGGGGCCUCGGCCCCAGUAAGUCCGUGACUUCAUGCUGCCAAGAAAAGCCGCUAAGCAGUCUCCGACGCAACCGUACCCCAAACCGACACAGGUAGACGAGGUGAAUAUCCAAAGGCGCUUGAGAGAACACUCGCUCAGGAACUAGGCAAAUUAGCACCGUAACUUCGGGAGAAGGUGUGCCCCGCUAGGGUUCAUAGCCCGAGGGGGCCGCAGUGAAAUGCGCUCUGCGACUGUUUAACAAAAACACAGGUCUCUGCAAAGUCGAAAACGACGUAUAGGGGCUGACGCCUGCCCGGUGCCGGAAGGUUAAAGGGAGAGGUCAUGGGGAGCAAUCCCCGGCAGCUUUGAACUGAAGCCCCGGUGAACGGCGGCCGUAACUAUAACGGUCCUAAGGUAGCGAAAUUCCUUGUCGGGCAAGUUCCGACCUGCACGAAUGGCGCAACGACAGACCGACUGUCGUAGCGAGUGACUCAGCGAACUUGUAGUACCGGUGAAGAUGCCGGUUACCCGCACCUAGACGGAAAGACCCCGUGCACCUUUACUAUACCCUAGCCCUGAGCUACGGGUUUGUCUGCGCAGGAUAGGUGGGAGGCUUUGAACCUGGGUUCUCGGACCCGGGGGAGCCAACGGUGAGAUACCACCCUGAUGAUUCUGUGGCUCUAACUUCGACCCGUAAUCCGGGUCAGGGACACGGCUAGGCGGGUAGUUUGACUGGGGCGGUCGCCUCCUAAAAGGUAACGGAGGCGCCCAAUGGUUGGCUCAGGCUGUUUGGAAAUCAGCCGUCGAGUGCAAGGGCAUAAGCCAGCCUGACUGCGAGACCAACAAGUCGAGCAGAGACGAAAGUCGGGCCUAGUGAUCCGGUGGUUCUGUAUGGAAGGGCCAUCGCUCAACGGAUAAAAGGUACGCCGGGGAUAACAGGCUGAUCGGAGCCAAGAGUUCACAUCGACGCUCCGGUUUGGCACCUCGAUGUCGGCUCAUCGCAUCCUGGAGCUGUAGAAGGUUCCAAGGGUUGGGCUGUUCGCCCAUUAAAGCGGUACGUGAGCUGGGUUCAGAACGUCGCGAGACAGUUCGGUCCCUAUCUGGUGUGGGCGCAGGAGAUUUGAGGGGGGUUGUCCUUAGUACGAGAGGACCGGGAUGAACAGACCUCUUGUGUACCAGCUGUCUAAACCAUGGCACGGCUGGGUAGCGAAGUCUGGAAGUGAUAAACGCUGAAAGCAUCUAAGCGUGAAGCACGCCCCAAGAUCAUAUCUCCCAAGGAUGAAAGGCGGUUUCGCUAACCGUCGAGAUUCCUCUGAAGGGCCGCGGAAGACUACCGCGUAUAUAGGUCGGACGUGGACGCAGGGUAACCUGUGGAGCUUACCGAUCCUAAUGCCCAUUCGGCUUGACC
rnacentral:rRNA from 1 species